rnacentral:tRNA from 1 species
GGCAGUAGAGCAUAAAAAGCUCUGGAUUUGGAAUCCAGAGACCCAAGUUCAAAUCUUGAUGUAGAUG